AACGAACGCUGGCGGCAUGCCUAACACAUGCAAGUCGAACGAGACCUUCGGGUCUAGUGGCGCACGGGUGCGUAACGCGUGGGAACCUGCCCUUAGGUUCGGAAUAACUCCCCGAAAGGGGUGCUAAUACCGGAUAAUGUCUUCGGACCAAAGAUUUAUCGCCUUUGGAUGGGCCCGCGUUGGAUUAGCUAGUUGGUAGGGUAAAAGCCUACCAAGGCGACGAUCCAUAGCUGGUCUGAGAGGAUGAUCAGCCACACUGGGACUGAGACACGGCCCAGACUCCUAGGGGAGGCAGCAGUGGGGAAUAUUGGACAAUGGGGGAAAGCCUGAUCCAGCAAUGCCGCGUGAGUGAUGAAGGCCUUAGGGUUGUAAAGCUCUUUUCCCGGGGAUGAUAAUGACAGUACCGGAAGAAUAAGCCCCGGCUAACUCCGUG
rnacentral:rRNA from 1 species